CCACAAGCGCAUAAACAGAUGGAUCAGCAGUCUUACGGUAAUACUCUUCUGACUCUGCAACUCUGAUCGUCGAUCUUCGACAGCCCAUCAGCCUUCUCUCCGUCGAUACCGCGAAUGUGUAGUUUCAAUUUCAUCCGAGUAAUCCUCGCUUUGCUUCCGUCUCCAGAGUUUUCACUCAUAUUCAGUCUGAAGAAGAUCUCAAGUCCUUGUUUGCGUCCUUGGCUGCUCAGCCACACAGCGACGGCCAAUUCAUCUAUCCUUCGGUUUUUUCACGUCAAUUGCUUUACUUCCUUUCCUUUUGUUCUGGCUAUACUUGAACCAUUGAAUCAACUUUUGUCAUCAGAGGUGAUCAACUUGGUGUUCAAAUUUGCAGUUUAUCGAUUUCCUAAGUUUUAGGCUUUCUUCUUUAGCAUUGUUUUGAUCGUUCAUUUGUCAAGGAGAGUUUCAAAUUGGAUUGGGGUUUGCAGAAGCCUCAAGGUUUCACCGAUUGCUUUUCAGCUUGAACCAGGUAACUAAUAGUUUGGAUCAACUCCAACUACAAUUGGAGCAACCACUUUUUUACACGUACUCCAGUUACACUGGCUUAGAACUAAACCUUUUGUAAAGCUACAACUGAAGCAGCUAAACCUGUUGUACAACUAGCAUUUCUGAACCAACCUCAGUAGCAACUUUGUUAACCUAUUUUACUGACACACUUUCGUCACGUUAACUUUUUGUAUAAAAAAUCUUUCACUCUUUUCAAUAGAGCGAGUAUUAUAAUAUGAAAGCUUGCAAGUUUUAUAA